rnacentral:rRNA from 1 species
UACGGAGGGUGCAAGCGUUAAUCGGAAUUACUGGGCGUAAAGCGUGCGCAGGCGGUUUUGUAAGCCAGGUGUGAAAUCCCCGGGCUCAACCUGGGAAUGGCAUUUGGGACUGCAAGGCUGGAGUGUGGCAGAGGAGACUGGAAUUCCUGGUGUAGCAGUGAAAUGCGUAGAUAUCAGGAGGAAUACCGAUGGCGAAGGCAGGUCUCUGGGCUGACACUGACGCUCAUGCACGAAAGCGUGGGGAGCAAACAGG